rnacentral:rRNA from 1 species
UACAUGGGGUGCAAACGUUGCUCGGAAUCAUUGGGCGUAAAGCGCGCGUAGGCGGUUACUUAUGUCGGAUGUGAAAGCCCGCGGCUUAACUGAGGAAGUGCAUUCGAAACUGGGUAGCUAGAGUACUAAAGAGGGUCGCGGAAUUCCCGGUGUAGAGGUGAAAUUCGUAGAUAUCGGGAGGAACACCGGUGGCGAAGGCGGCGACCUGGGUAGAUACUGACGCUGAGGCGCGAAAGCGUGGGGAGCAAACAGG